rnacentral:rRNA from 1 species
UGGGGGAUAUUGCACAAUGGGCGAAAGCCUGAUGCAGCGACGCCGCGUGGGGGAUGAAGGCUUUCGGGUUGUAAACCUCUUUCGCUAUCGAACAAGGCCCGCUUAGGGUGGGUUGAGGGUAGGUGGAGAAGAAGCGCCGGCUAACUACGUGCCAGCAGCCGCGGUAAUACGUAGGGCGCGAGCGUCGUCCGGAAUUAUUGGGCGUAAAGGGCUUGUAGGCGGCUUGUUGCGCCUGCUGUGAAAACGCGGGGCUUAACUUCGCGCGUGCAGUGGGUACGGGCAGGCUUGAGUGUAGUAGGAGUGACUGGAAUUCCAGGUGUAGCGGUGGAAUGCGCAGAUAUCUGGAGGAACACCGAUGGCGAAGGCAGGUCACUGGGCCAUUACUGACGCUGAGGAGCGAAAGCAUGGGUAGCGAACAGG